GACAGAGGGUGCAAUCGUUGCUCGGAAUCACUGGGCGUAAAGGGCGUGUAGGCGGGAGAGAAAGUCGGGCGUGAAAUCCCUGGGCUCAACCCAGGAACUGCACUCGAAACUUCCCUUCUUGAGUGCCGGAGAGGAAAGCGGAAUACCUGGUGUAGAGGUGAAAUUCGUAGAUAUCAGGUGGAACACCAGUGGCGAAGGCGGCUUUCUGGACGGUAACUGACGCUGAGACGCGAAAGCGUGGGGAGCAAACAGG
rnacentral:rRNA from 1 species